rnacentral:rRNA from 1 species
CCUACGGGUGACAGCAGUGGGGGAUAUUGCACAAUGGGGGAAACCCUGAUGCAGCGAAGCCGCGUGGGUGAAGAAGGGCCUAGGCGCGUAAAGCCCUGUCAGCAGGGAAGAAAAUGACGGUACGUGAAGAAGAAGCCCCGGCUAACUACGUGCCAGCAACCGCGGUAAUAGGGAGGUGGGAAGCGUUGUCCGGAUUUAUUGGGUGUAAAGGGAGUGUAGCCGGGUUGACAAGUCAGAUGUGAAAUCCUGCGGCUUAACCGCAGAACUGCAGUUGAAACUGUUGAUCUUGAGUACUGGAGAGGCAGACGGAAUGCCUAGUGUAGCGGUGAAAUGCGUAGAUAUUAGGAGGAACACCAGUGGCGAAGGCAGUCUGCUGGACAUCAACUGACGGUGAGGCGCGAAAGCGUGGGGAGCAAACAGGAUUAGAUACCCUUGUAGUC